rnacentral:rRNA from 1 species
UACGUAGGGGGCUAGCGUUGUCCGGAAUCAUUGGGCGUAAAGAGCGUGUAGGCGGUCCGGUAAGUCCGCUGUGAAAGUCGGGGGCUCAACCCUCGAAUGCCGGUGGAUACUGUCGGGCUAGAGUGCGGAAGAGGCGAGUGGAAUUCCUGGUGUAGCGGUGAAAUGCGCAGAUAUCAGGAGGAACACCUAGUGCGAAGGCAGCUCGCUGGGACGUAACUGACGCUGAGACGCGAAAGCGUGGGGAGCAAACCGG